ACUUUUAUAACUGAUGUUAAUAUUGUAACUUUUAUUUCAUACUAGUCUAAUGACAUAUGAGGGAAAAGCUAUUUGCAAAGAUACAAAUGAUACAUGGAGACACUCGGUUAAACCAAACAUUGACCUGUUUUUUUUUAAUAUGAAUUUCUUCAUUGAUUAAAUUUCCUAAAUAUAAAAAGAGGUGGUACGAAUGCCAAUGAAACGGGAAAGCCCACGUUCUAAUCUAUAUAAACAAAAACGAGAAACCAGCAUGAACCACUUCAACAAACGACAGCCACCGAACAACAUGUUCCUGGCUUAGGACAGGUGCAAACAAAUGCAGCGGGUUUAAACUAGUUGAUAGAUAUCAACCUUCACCUUUACCUGGAAUAAUAGUGUAACAUCACAACAUAGAAAUACUUAUGAGCCAUUCAUUAUCCCUUUCCCUCGAUAUAGACACAGAUAAACAUCAAAAUCUAAAAUGUACGAGAAACGUGAUAAUUUCCACUUUCCAUUUCUCAGCAGUAACAAACCAUAUACCUAACCUUAUGGCGUUUAUACAUCACAAUUGAUACUUUACGCUUAUGCUUUGAUACAUUUAUGGAGAUAGAUGAUAACCACUUCAUUACAAAUUCAG
rnacentral:lncRNA from 1 species